ensembl:miRNA
GAGAUGGGAGGAUCACUUGAGCCCGGGAGGUUGAGGCUGCAUUGAGCUGUGAUCCUGCCACUGCACUCCAGCCUGAGUGACAGAGUGAGACCUUGUCUC